rnacentral:rRNA from 1 species
AUGAACGCUGGCGGCGUGCCUAAUACAUGCAAGUCGAGCGGUAAGGCCCCUUCGGGGGUACACGAGCGGCGGACGGCUGAGUAACGCGUAGGAACAUACCCCAAAGUGAGGGAUAAGCACCAGAAAUGGUGUCUAAUACCGCAUGUGAUCUUCGGAUUAAAGCUUCGGCGCUUUGGGAAUGGCCUGCGUAAGAUUAGCUUGUUGGUGAGGUAAUGGCUCACCAAGGCGAUGAUCUUUAGCUGGUCUGAGAGGAUGACCAGCCAGACUGGGACUGAGACACGGCCCAGACUCCUACGGGAGGCAGCAGUAGGGAAUUUUCCACAAUGGGGGCAACCCUGAUGGAGCAACGCCGCGUGCAGGAUGAAUGCCUUCGGGUUGUAAACUGCUUUUAUCUGUGACGAAUAUGACGGUAGCAGAUGAAUAAGGAUCGGCUAACUCCGU